rnacentral:lncRNA from 1 species
AGCUAUGGCAAGGUGGUUGAUCUGGCCCCACUCCAUUUGGAUGCAAGGAUUUCACUUUCUACCCUUCAGCAGCAGCUGGGCCAGCCUGAGAAAGCUCUGGAAGCUCUGGAACCAAUGUAUGAUCCAGAUACUUUAGCACAGGAUGCAAAUGCUGCACAGCAGGAACUGAAGUUAUUGCUUCAUCGUUCUACUCUGUUGUUUUCACAAGGCAAAAUGUAUGGUUAUGUGGAUACCUUACUUACUAUGUUAGCCAUGCUUUUAAAGCAAUAUUUGCUGUGCUCACAAGCGUCUUGACAAAGGAUGACUGGUGGAAUCUUCUGUUGAAGGCCAUAUACUCCUUAUGUGACCUAUCCCGAUUUCAAGAGGCUGAGUUGCUUGUAGAUUCCUCAUUGGAAUAUUACUCAUUUUAUG